rnacentral:lncRNA from 1 species
AAAUAUGGUUAGAUUUGGUUCGAUUUAUAUAUAUUUUUAUCAUCGCAAUAUUUGAGGCAAUGUUAAAUAGUGAUCUUUUUUUCUGUAAUCUGAUUGACUGGUUUUAAUAUUACCGGAGGAAGUUCGAUCAUCAGAAAGUUUACUUUGCAGCUCGGUUCUUAAUGGGAUCUACCAAAUACCACUAGUUUUGGGUACCCAUUUGAUUUUUAUUGCUCCUUUUUCUGGUGGUUCUUGAAUUUUAACUUGUGUUUUUUACGCUAAUUGUAACGCUUUGUAUAAAUGUUAAUAACUUAAUAUAUAUUCCUUUUCGAUGUUCCAUCAUCGGAAUGUUACUUUGCAGCUGGUUCUUAGUUGCAGCUCUUACCAAAUGCCAUGAAUUUGUUAUCCCUAUUGAGUUUUCUUGCUGUGUUUUGUGAUGGUUCUUGAGUCUUAACAUGUGGUUGACUUAUUAUCGUAAAUUCAUAAUGCUUUUUAAAGCGGUCCUUUAGCUUCUGUUUCUUGGCAGUUGUACUAUUGGGUUUCGCUUUCCUUUUUUCCUCUUUGGCAGUUGUACUAGUUGAUUUGUUCUGUUUCUUGCUUUACAAACUAAGAUAAAUUGUUGGUCUCCCUAAUCAAGAGGCAUAAUUUUGCAUUGUUGCUUUCCUUUAGCUUCUGUCUUUUUGCAUGUGUUUUGUAUUCAAAUGGUUCUUGUACAAUUCAGCUAUCUCGGGUUACUAGAUUGUAGGGUUUGAAGUAAAUUGACGAUUUGUGUUUUCUGAAUAUUUCUUGUCUAUUUUGUCUGUGAAGAAUGGAAAACACGAUCAAGCAUGCUAUUGUGAUCAAGGUUAUGGGACGGACUGGAUCUCGUGGGCAGGUGACUCAAGUGAGAGUCAAGUUUCUGGAUGACCAGAACCGUUUCAUCAUGAGGAAUGUCAAGGGACCAGUCAGAGAGGGGGAUAUCCUUACCUUGCUCGAGUCAGAGAGGGAGGCAAGAAGGUUGCGGUAAUCAUCGGAGAUGGUCUUGUUUGUCGAUGCUCCUAUGUCUGAGUUUAGGUUCGUUGCAAGCAACAGUUAUUUUGUGUCAGUGAAUGGCUGUUGGGUUGCCGGUUCUGGGAAUUACUAGCAUUAUAAACAUUAUUUUUGUGAUGAGAUUUUGUUAUGGAAUGUUUCUAAACUAAAUUGUCUGAAAAAGUCCUAGGUUUUGUUUGAACAAGUGACAAUUUUCCUUCUUGCUAUGUCAAAUGUUUGCUUUCCUUCUUACCAUUUACCAGGAUUGUUGCUUAAUUGUUAAGUCAUUAUGUUGUCUUAAAAUCAGUACAAGAUGUUGACGUGGUUUAAUCGUAACCGUUUAAAUUGAAGGGAGUGAAGGGAUGAGAGAUUAGGAGGAAAGAGAAUUUAACAUUUUUAAUAAUUUUCAAUUUCUCCGUCCAUACUUGGAGCCUAAAUUUUGUAAUAGAAAGCAAUUCAAGCAACAAAGGAGUCAAAAUUUUGUUAAAAUUCAUGUUUGUCAUAAAAAAUUCUUGGAAGUAUGGCAGUUAUCAGUUACCCCAUAAAAUUCUGGAGUUUUUGCACUAUUCUUACGGCUUAUUUGUAUUCAUAUUCAUUCGUAGACGGGAAGUUUUAGGUUUGAAUCUGUACAGAUGGAAGUUUUGAUACCAAUUUAUUAGGUUUUCAAUGUAUGGCUUAGUGCAAAUCCUUCAACUUUUUUUGGAUAUAAUAGUGGUAUAUGGGAAACAUAAUGAUUAAAGGCAAUGGUUAUCCAAUCGAACAUAAAAAGGGCCUUCUAGAAGUGGAGAGAAUAAAUUAGUAUUGAAUUUGCCACUCAGUAUUAUGGUCAGAUCGUAUUCUUUUUCAUCUGUAAGUGAGAGGUAUUAGGUUCGAAUCUUGUGGAUGUUAAAUUCGAUACAUGUGAAUGCAAAUUUCCACAUUCUUUUUCUUAGACGAAAAUGUACCUGCAAAACAAUUAACACCUAAGGUUGUUUAUACCAUAUUCAGGACCUCAUAUUUAGACCUCAUAUAAAUACUCGGGGGACUUAAAUGUAAUUAUGUAAUAAAAGAAUGGGUAAAUAUGUAAUUAGGGGAGGAGCCCUUAUUCUAUAAAAGGGCCUCCUCACCCUCACAAACCCUAAGCCUCCUCACACCCCCUAAGCUCUAAGCUCUCUCUCUCCCUCUUCAACAGAGAAAUAUAAUACAAUCAGUGUGGAAAUAGCCCAAAUCUUGAGGUGAACCACGAUACAUCUUGUGUUAUUUACAUUUCAUGCAGAUUCACUGCCGGAUUUACUUUGUUCCAAGAUCUCCGGUUUUGUGCAUCAACAUUUAGCGCCGUUUGUGUAAAUCGACAUGAAAAACUAUGUCGGUUCUCUUUCAUUUUUUCAUAAAAUCUCACCACCGUGAGUCUGCAGAAACCAAUAGCUCAAGACUUUUCCAGAAAACCCAACUUUUCAAUCUUUUCAAUUAACGUCCCUUCAUUUUAGCGGAUCAGCUCUUUAUUAUAUCUCAGUAUUUUCCAAUUUAAUCCCACAACUCAAAAACUUAGUCUGUUUCUUUCAGCUAUCUCUCUCUUUAUGCACUUUCUGUUGGCCAAAUUCACGGAAGGGGCUGCUGCUUCAGAGUUUUCACUCCUCCAUCACAAUUUUCCCCAGAAGAGCCAUUGGUGAAAGCUUGAAUUUCCCAAGACUUAUUGUUCUUGAUCUGAAAGCAGCAAUCAUUAUUGAGAUGCUCCCUUGAGAAUGCGAUAUCUUUGUCCCCAAAUGGGUCGCCGGAGCUCCAAGAGUUGAGACGAUGGUGUGCGUUUUGGGCACGGAGGUAUCCGUCACUAGAAGUUAUCGGCGUUCCAGUGAAGCUCGGCGCCGUUGCCGGAGCAUCAAGGAGCCAUCUGGCGCCACUGACCAAGUGAAAGCAGGUCAAAGCAAAGUCGCCAGUCGUACGGCCCAAACUCCAUAGCUGUUAAGCGCAUGUGAGACAAAGGGAAGAAGAGAGAUCGCUACGUAUAUAAACCACCUCCAACAACAUCCAAGUGAUUGUGUUUCGUCGUGUACCUUCGAGUCCCCACCCAUCCAAUCAGAGUAUUUAACCAAGAGCUCAAGACGUCAGCGAGGGGACGGUGAGGGGGGAGAUGGAGGGGUUCGGGGAGGUGAGGUGGGUGCAGAUGAAUAGGGCGUGCGACGGGAUCGUGACCGUCCACUUCUACGAUCUCAGGCAUGCAGAGAAGGCGUUGGAUAAACCGUUUAACAUAGUGGGUGAAGGGAUAGUUGGACGAGCUGCAUUUACGGGGAACCAUCAAUGGAUUUUAUCAGGCAAUUACAGAAAAGAUACCCAUCCACCAGAGCCGGGUAAUUGUUUUUUUUUUUUCAGCCGGGAAAAUGUCUUGGUCCUCAUCGAUUCUGUCGCUGCUGUCCUCACCAAAUCAGGAGGGGUAAUCUGCUGUGGACGACCUCAUCUCCCAAGUUCCUUGGGCAUAAACACAUCAGAACUUCCUCUUCACAUUGUCGUUGAAAUGCCAGCUUUAUCACCGACAAUGAGUCAGGAAAACAUUUUUAAGUGGAGAAAGAAAGAAGGAGAUAAGAUAGAAGUGGGGGAUAUAAUAUGUGAUAUAAUAUGUGAGAUAGAGACAGACAAAGCAACCAUUGAAUAUGAAUUUCUUAAAAAGGGGUGCAUGCAAGCAUAUGUGGGUUGAUGACCUCCAAAGAAAGUGGUCGCGGGGCUGAUAAGUGAUGACCUCCAAAGAUGCUCUUUACAAAUAGACAGCAGCGUAGAGACAGAGACAGAGAGAUAUGCGGUGGAAAAGAGAAAACAGAAACAAAAGCAAAAGAGAAAGCAAAAACAAAGAAUAAACACCUCACCAGAAUGAUGUGAUUUACCUUUUUGACAAAUGUAUGAUGUAAUUUAUUUUUUUUAUCUCUCGGAGACAUCUGUAUAAACCCCAUCAGAGGGUAAUAAUAGUAAAAAAAAAACGGCAAAGCCCAAAAUAAAUGGGCUGGAAUGUUGUGUGGAGGGCAAAGGCCUAUAAACCCAAAAUAGCUCCAACCAAGCGAUCAAAAGUACGCUCAGUACUCAAUAAUUAUUCGGCAACCUGCCACUAUUAUCACCAACCAGGUGACCAAAAGUACGCGCCCAGUACUCCACAAUUUUUUGGCAACCCGCCACUAUUAUCACCAACCAGGUGAUGAGAUGUACAACCCGUACUCUAAUUUGGCAACUAGUCAUUCAUGCCACCAACCAGGUGAUGAAAUGUACAACUCGUACUCUCCUUCAUGCCACCAAUCAGGUGAUUAAAAAUACGCCUAAUACUCCAAAUUAUACAUGAGCACUACUCAUGUCAUUCAUACAUAAACAUUCAUGAGCAUCACUCAUGACAAUCAUACAUAAACAUUCAUGACCAUCAUUCAUGUCCACAUUCAUGAGCAUCACUCAUGUUAACAUUCAUGAGCAUCACUCAUGACAACAUCCAUGAGCAUCACUCAUAUCAAUCAACAUAAACAUUCAUGAGCAUUACUCAUGUCAAACAGCUUCAAAAGCUUCAUUUACAGAGCUCUAGCUUCAAAAGCUUCAUUUACAAAAGCUCCAACUUCGAAAGCUUCAUUUACAGAGCUCUAACUUCAAAGCUUCACUUGCAAAGCUUCACCUACAAAGCUUCAAUGCAGGGUAUACAAAUACCGCCUCCGAACAACCGCCACUUCGGCCCAUACAUGGAUUCAAUUUGAAGUCUCCAACCAACAGACUCUAUUGACCGAAGACUUGGGGGACUACAUUAUGUACCAUAUAUUGGGCCUCAACUGGGCCUCAUGAAAAAUACUUGGGGGACGUAGCCCAUUACUUAUGUAUUGAGGAGCGAGCCCUUAUUCUAUAAAACGGACUCCCUCACUUUCAUUAAAGAGCACUCAUUAUUCAUGUAUUGAGGAGCAAACCCUUAUUUUAUAAAAGGGACUCCUUCACCAUCAUUAAAGAGCAACACCGCUAACUGAGCAACCGCCUCAUCGCGAGCAUCACUCCUAACCCAUCACUUAUGUAUUGAGGAGCGAGCCAUUAUUCUAUAAAAGAGACUCCCUCACCACCAUUAGAGAGCAUCGCCGCCUACUAAGCAACCGCAUCGCCGCGAGCAUUAACUCUAGCCCAUCAUUCAUGUAUUGAGGAGCGAGCCCUUAUUCUAUAAAAAGGACUCCCUCACCACCAUUAGAGAGCAUCGCCACCUACUGAGCAACCGCCUCGCCGCAAGCAUCAACUCUAGCCCAUUAUUUAUGAAUUGAGGAACGAGCCGUUAUUCUAUAAAAGGGACUCCCUCACCAUCAUUAGAGAGCAUUAACUCUAGCCCAUUAUUCAUGUAUUGAGGAGCGAGCCCUUAUUCUAUAAAAGGGACUCUCUCACCUUCAAACGCCGCAAGCCAAGCCAACCAAGGCAACAUAAGCCACGAGCCGAGCAGCCUCACACCGUGUGCUACUUCUAGUUAAGCGUCAUUUCAGAUUGAGCACUGCCUCAUAUCGAGCAUCAGUUCAAGAUAGCAUCUAGUUACUUCGGCCCACACAUGGACUAAAUUUCAAGUCUCCAGCCAAAAAGACUCUCUUGACUGACGACUUGGGGGACUACUAUUUAUACCAUAUUUAGGGCCUCGUAUUUAGACCUCGUAUAAAUACUCGGGGAAAUUAAAUGUAAUUAUGUAAUAAAGGAAGGGGCAAAUAUGUAAUUAGGGGAGGAGCCCUUAUUCUAUAAAAGGGUCUCCUCACCCUUACAAACCCUAAGCCUCCUCACACCCCCUAAGCUCUAAGCUCUCUCUAUCCCUCUUCAACAGAGAAAUAUAAUACAAUCAGUGUGGACGUAGCCCAAACCUUGGGGUGAACCAUGAUACAUCUUGUGUUAUUUACAUUUCAUGCAGAUUCACGGCCGGAUUUACGUUGUUCCAAGACCUCCGGUUUUGUGCAUCAACAAAGGUCAAGGCCAAGAGCCUCACGCGUUCACGAUGAAUGGGGGGCUUUGGCCGAAGAACCUCCGAUGCCAAAGUUAGAAUUUGAGAGAGAAAGUGUUCAAAGAAUUUUAGGAGAAUAAUGGACUUUCAAUGACGAACAUGAAAUAAGUACUUCUUUGGGGGGAGUUAAGUAACUCAGAAGAGUGUAGAAACUACUUCUUUAACCGUCAAAUUAGGAAGGAAUAAGUGGUUGUAACAUUGAAAAAGAUUAAGCAUAGAAAAGCAAUGGGCCCAGAUGAUAUAUCGAUCGAAGUGUGGAAAAUCUUAGGAGAGACAGGUAUAUUAUGGCUCACAGACCUUUUCAAUAGGAUUUUGAAAACGAAGAAGAUGCGAAAUGAGUGGUGAAAGAGCACUUAGGUGCCUAUCUACAAGAAUAAGGGCAACAUACAAAAUUGUAUGAACUAUAGGGGUAUCAAGUUAAUGAGUCAUACAAUGAAGCUCUGGGAGAGAGUAAUUGAGCAUAGACUAAGGCAAGAGACACGGGUCUCGAACAACCAAUUCGGGUUCAUGCCAGGGCGCUCAACCAUGGAGGCAAUCUAUCUCUUAUGAAGAUCGAUGGAAAGAUAUAAAGAUAUGAAAAAUGAUUUGCACAUGGUCUUUAUAGAUUUGGAAAAAGCGUAUGAUAGGGUUCCAAGAGACAUUCUUUGGAGGAUUUUAGAGAAGAAAGAAGUAUGAGUAGCAUAUAUCCAAACUAUAAAUGAUAUGUAUGAUGGAACAAGGACUGCCAUAAGAACUCAUGAAUGACAAAUUGAAAGCUUCCCCAUAAUUGUAGGGUUACAUCAAGGCUCAUCUUUAAGUCCUUACCUUUUUGCAUUGGUAAUGGAUGAGUUAAUAGGACAUAUUCAAGAUAAUAUUCCUUGGUGUAUGCUUUUCGCAGACGAUGUAGUGUUAAUAGAUAAAACUCAGGAAUGAGUAAAUGCGAAGCUUAACCUUUGGAGAGAAGUGUUGGAAUCUAAAAGUCUUCACCUAAGUCGGUCAAAGACAAAGUAUAUGGAGUGCAAGUUCAGUGCAAACGAAGGCUCAAAUGAGUUAGGAGUGAGGGUUGGAGAUCAGGAAAUACCAAAGAGCGAUCGUUUUCGCUACGUAUGAUCUAUCUUGCAUAAGAACGGAGAGUUGGAUGGAGACCUCAACCAUAAAAUACAAGCUGGAUGGAUGAAGUGGAAGAGUGCAUCCAGUGUGUUGUGUAACCAUCAUAUGCCACUAAAGCUUAAGGCAAAAUUUUAUAGGAUGACAAUAAAGCUAGCAAUGCUUUAUGGCACGAAAUGUUAGACGGUGAAGUAUGAACACGUACAUAAAAUGGGUGUAGUGAAGAUGAGAAUGCUUCGUUGGAUAUGUGGGCACACAAGAAAGGAUAAGAUUAGGAAUGAGGAUAUUUGAGAUAAAGUAGAAGUAGCCGAAAUUGAAGGAAAGAUGAGAGAAAAUCAUUUACGGUGGUUUGGACAUGUGAAACAAGGGCCUACUGACUCUCCGGUUAGAAGAUGCGAUUACAGGACAGAAGUUCAGGGCCGAAGGAGUAGAGGAAGACCUAGAAAACUUUGGAAAAGACUGUAAGAAAGAUUUAGAGUACUUUGAUCUAACGGAAGACGUGACUCAGAACCGAGCUCAAUGGCGUUCUAUAAUUCAUAUAGCCAACCCCACUUAGCGGAAAAAAGCUUUGUCGUUGUUGUUGUUGUUAUAUAAUUUGUGGGUGUGGCUUCAAUGCUACAUAUCAUUUAUUGUUUGGAGUAUUUUAACUGUUAGAUUUGAUUACAAAUCUGUUUAGAUUUUCAAUUUUCAAUUUUUGUUAUUUAUCUCCAUAUCAAUCAAUGCUAAGUAGUAGUGAAGAAAUUUUAUUGAUUUGUUUAUCAAAUACCAUACAUAUGGACUAGGGAAUCUGUGAGUUGUUUGCGAAGAGUCAACAGUGUAUAUGUCGGUGCCUUUCAAAGAGAGAAAUGUAUGUCUUCGAUAAUAACUAGAGAUAGGAGAGUAUGGAUUAGAGGAGUAUUACAACAAGACACCUUUCAUCUCUUUUUUAAAACGCGAAUUUAUUUCUUGACUUUAAAUUUUGAGUCUUUUUUCUAAUUUUGAUAAACCAUAUCUAUUCCAUAUCUUCUUUCUUUUUUCCAACUUAUCAUUUUUUUUCUUUGAACAAAAGAUAUUAUUUACACUAAAAGGGAGGGGUAGAUUUAAUCUCACAAUGGUUGGCAAUAAUAUGGUCCAAAUUCGUCUUUGGAGAUAAUCGAACCUAAAACCUUUAACUUACAAGUGAAAAAAAAUAUCACUAGAUCGUAGUACUAAUUGGCGUCACCCGCAUGUUUUCAAUCUCAAUCAUCAUUAUUUCCUGUAUUAUUCAAUGUUCUUACAAUAGUGAAGGAAAAUCCAAAUUAGUAGGUAAAAUAUUAUGGGCCAAGUUGAUAGGCCUCAUCCAUGAGCAACCAGUUAAUGGACCUCAAUCAUAAGCAACUUGAAAAAGGUUAUUAUUGUAAUAUAGUCAUCAAGUAAAAGUCCUAAUUCGUUUUUCUUGUAAGUUGCUCUCCGAAUCUACCCUAACCCUGCCUUGUCUUUGCACGUCUUGCUCAUGGUUUCGUCGCCACGACCUAGACUUGCAGAGCCCUUUCGAGAAAUUGUGGUAUACCCAUUCUACCCGCAGUUUCCCUCUCUAAUUGUUUUCUUAAUGUUUUUGCUUUAAGGUUCAUCUUCUUCUCUUUAGCUUCUUGUUUUGUUGUAGCAAGUAGCAACACAAAGAAAGCUACGAAAUCCUGAUAAAUUUGGCCUUUUUAGUUGAUAUUUGAUUGAAUUUGCAUGUGUGUGGAUCAUGAUAUUUCUCACUUAUUUUAUUUUUGGAAAAUACCAUUAAUUUAUGAUGCCCUGGCCAUUUUUCUCUGAUGAUGGCCGAUAAAAAACUAUGGAAAGGAUAAUUUUUAAGACCUGGGAACCUUUUUGUAGCAGAGAAAAAAAAUUAGUUACCUUGGUAGCCUUGGUACAACGGAAAAGUUGCUCCUUUAUGAUCAAAAUGUCACAAAUUUGAUUUGUGAAAAUAGUCUCUUUGCAAAGUAAGGGUAAAACUGUGUACACUAGACGUUCCCUCACCCUCAUAAAGCGGGGAGCCUUUGUUUGGUAGUUGUAGUUGGAUUUUUGUAGAUAGAUUUGGCCUUUUUUUUUUUGGAUAAAUUUUUUUGUUGAAUUUGUAGCAUUUUUAAGAUGCUUCUAUGCAAUUUUCAUGCAUCAUAAUAUUUUUCAAUGAUUUUAUUUUUUUGGGGGUUUAAUGUUUGUUUUAUGUAAUUUUCAUGCAUCAUGAUAUUGUUCUAUGAUUUAUAUGGUUUUUAGUAUAAUGGUGCAUGAAAAUUAAACAUAGAACAAACAUUCAACACCAGAAAAAUAAAAUCAUUGAAAAAUAUCAUGAUGCAUGAAAAUUGCAUAGAAGCAACUUAAAAUGCUACAACACACAAAUUCAACACAAAAAAAUUGGGAGUUUUAACGAAAAGCCCGCGGUAUUGUUCACUUUAACGAAAACCCACAUUUUUAGACUAAAAAAUCAAUCAUAUUACUAUUCACUUUACUAUUUAUUUUGUCCUUAUCGUUAAAACUCAAAGUUAAAAAAAAAAGCAACCCCAAGACAACAAGGCUCCUCGCUUUGCAAGGGUAGGAAUGUCUAGUGUACACAACUUUAUCCUUUCCAUAACUUUUUAUUGACCAUAUUCAGAUAAAAGUGGGCAGGGCAUCAUAAAUUAACAGUAUUUUACAAAAAUAAAAUCAUUGAGAAGUAUCAUGAUCCAUUAAAAUUUCACAACAUAUGCAAAUUCAAUAAAAUAUAAACUAAAAAGGCCAAAUUUAUCAGGAUUCCAUAGUUUUCUUUGUGUUGCUACUUGCUACAACAAACCAAGAAGCUAAAGAGAGGAAGGUGAACCUUAAAGCAAAAACACUGAUAAAACAAUUAGAGAGGGAGACUGGGGAUAGAAUGGGGGUAUACCUCAAUUUCUCGAAAGGGCUCUGCAAUUCUUGGCCGCGGCAACGAAACGGUGAGAGAGACGCGCAGAGACAAGGCAAAGUUAGGGUAGACUCGGAGAGCAACUUAUAUGAUGAACGAAUUUGAGCUUUUACUUGAUGACUAUAUUACGAUAGUACCCUUUUUCGGGUUGUUUAUGAUUGAGGUCCAUUAACUGGUUGCUCAUGGAUGAGGCCUAUUAACUUGGCCCAUAAUAUUUUACUUACUAAUUUGGGUUUUCCUUCGCUAUUAUAAGAACAUUGAAUAAUACAGGAAACAAUGAUGAUUGAGAUUGAAAACAUGCGGGUGACGCCAAUUAGUACUACGGUUUAAUGGUAUUUUUCUUCACUUGUAAGUUAGAAGUUUUAGGUUUGAUUCUCACCAAAUGCGAAUUUGAACCAUAUUAUAAUUAUUGUUUACCUAUUGUGAGACCAAAGCUACUCUCUCAUUUUUAGUGUAAAUAAUAUCUUUUGUUGAAAGAAAAAAAAAACGAUAAGUUGGAAAAAAAAUAGGGAAUAGAUAAAAUUAGAAAAAGACUCAAAAUUUAAAGUCAAGAAAUAAAUUCGCGUUUUAGAAAAGAGAUGAAAAGUCUCUUGUUGUAUUACUUCUCUAUUCCUAUCUCUUGUUAUUAUUGAAGACAUACAUUUCUCUCUUUGAAAAGACUAACAGAUUGUUUGUUUUCAAUUUUCAUUUUCUAGACAGCUUGAUAACUUAGGGCUUAUUUGGCAAGUGCUUUUAAACUACUGAAAGCGUUUUUAGAAAAAAUAUUUUUAGGUUCCAAAAACAUUUUUUCUAAGGAUUGGUUUCAAAACAUUUUUUCUAAAGCGUUUUCAAUCUAAGAUUUGUUAUUUUUCUAUUCCAAUGCUCAAGUAAACCUUAGUUCCCAUUGUUGAAGCAUAUGUUGCAAAACAUUUGUUUGAUAUCAUUUUAACAGAUGUUAGACACGACACGAAUUCCUUUUAACUUGCAUGCAUUAAACUUGCACAUAAUUCCCAAUGUACAUGUGCCUCGGUAUUAUUUUUCCACGAAACACGAUAAAACAGGAGACAUGAAAUGAGUGAAAAAGAAAAAGACUAACAUGAAACAUGGUAUAUAGGUUGCGAACGGCCAAAAUGACAGCGUAUAUAUAUCUACAUCUUCAUGUAAGUUUUCUUAUUAAAUGAGGUGAUCAUUUUCGCACUCCAACUUUCCACAACAGCACUCCUCUCGUUUUUGAAGCGAUUUAACAUAAAAUUAUAUGAGUCUUGCUAAGGAGACUAAAUUUGUAAAUUAAAUGACAUGAAAUUUGAUAAUUGGAUUAUUACUUAAACGUUGAUAAACGUGUUCAUUUUCUAUUGGUGACACAUCAUUUAGUUCGCAAAUUUAACCUAUGUAGCAUUACUCAAAAUCAUAUAUUAGUUCUAACAAAAAUGAAAAGUCACAUUUGUCAUUCAGCAACAUGAAAUUCAAUUUGAUUUAACCAUCUAAUCAUUACACAAUUGUAAUUAAAUAAAGUGUUUAAAAACAAUAUUCUACUAACUAAAAGCAUCCCUAAAUCGAUCAUCAAUAGAGUGACAAAACAUUUAUCUCUCCUAUGUGUAAAAGCGAUCUCUAAAUCGAUCAUCAUUACCUUGAUAAAUAUCAAUCUCUUGCGCACACUGCGAUUGAACUCACUUAGGUGUGUAUGCGGCAUUCCAACUCACUCCACCCUUUGGUUUGACAAUGUUUCUACUAUAUCUUUGGCCUCCAAUCCAGUUUUCCAUGCUUGCACAAAGCACGUGGAAAUUGAUUACCACUACAUUCGUGAACUUAUUCUUGCCAAACUGCUCAAAGUGCAAUAUAUCAAUACUCAGCAACAAGUUGCUGAUAUACAUACCAAGUCUCUCUCCAAAGCUCGGUUUCAAUAUCUACAAUCCAAGCUUUCACUCGGCCCUCUUCCAUUCAGCUUGAGGGGGUGUAAAGAGAUACACAAUAGUUAAUUGUAAUAUUGUUACAAGUUUGUUACAACUGUUCAUGUAACUAAUACUAGUUUAAUGAGUUAACUAGAUUUAAUUAGUUACUAAGCUAUUUUCCAAGUUGUAUAUAAACCUGAUUGUAAUUCCUUAUUCAUUAAGAAAUGAAAUACUAUUAGUUGAAUAUCAGAGUGCGCAACGAACAAAACUAACAAGAAUAAUAAGAAUAUUAUUAAACAAACUGAGAAUGCCGAAACGGCUACAAAACCCUAAGAGACUACAUUGUGAAUGACUUGAUUUCUAAUGAAUAACAAAACACUCUAUUUAUAAUAAACUAACCCUAAACCCUAAUGCUAACGGGCUAAGCCCAGAAAACCAAACAUUAAAGUAAACCUAAAUACUAAUAUUUUCCAACACCCCCCGUCAAACUCAUGGCGGUAUACAACAUGAGUUUGCAAACAAGCAGAUGUGGAUGCAAGCUCCAUUAGGCGGACAAGACAAGACAAAGCGAACAAGCGAGCAAACAAACGAACGAACAAACGAGCAAACAAACGAACGAACAAACGAGUAAGCAAUUUCCAUACUACCAACUCCAAUCCUCGCGGGCAUCUUCUUCAAACGUUGAAGAAGCGGGUGGAUGCAAUUCAACAAAUUCCAGUGCUAAUGCCAAUGCCGAUUCUGAUGCCGAACAAACAAACAAAAAAUUCAACCAAAUAUACCAUAUUUCUUUCUUUCUUCUCUUUUCUUCUGGGCGAAACCGAUUGCAGCAAACAAGGCUUGCAAAACCAAUUGCAGCAAGCUUCAAAACUUCUAGUGCAAAGUCAACUUGCAGAAGGGGACUUCAUUGGGUUGUGACAGAUCCGACUGGUAGGAGUCGGUGCGGGUACCGUGAACAGGUGGUAGCAGCGGAGAUGGUGGUGCGGGUUAUCUGGACAUAUUGCAGUGCGGUGCGGUGUGGUGGUGACAAGAACGGCUUCGACUACGGAUGAGCGGAAGACGACGGACGAAACUAAUACCCAGUAAACUGACAAACAAAACUGAUACAAACAAAUUGACACUAAUCAAGAACAGAUUAAAUCCCAAAGGAUCAAACCUGCUCUGAUACCAAGUUGAAUAUCAGAGUGCGCAACGAACAAAACUAACAAGAAUAAUAAGAAUAUUAUUAAACAAACUGAGAAUGCCGAAACGGCUACAAAACCCUAAGAGACUACAUUGUGAAUGACUUGAUUUCUAAUGAAUAACAAAACACUCUAUUUAUAAUAAACUAACCCUAAACCCUAAUGCUAACGGGCUAAGCCCAGAAAACCAAACAUUAAAGUAAACCUAAAUACUAAUAUUUUCCAACACUAUUUACAUGUGUUGUUAGCCUCGUACAUUUUAAUCAUCUGGAAAUGUGCAACUGUUUAGUGGCUAUUGCAUCUUUCUGAUGCAUAGGUGGUAUUAGAUUUAGUUAAUUAAUUAACGGGUAUCGUAAUUAUGUGUCGUGCCGAUCAAAGCAGAAACUCUAAUUCUAGGUGGGGAUCCCAAGGACAUGACUUGCGAGGCCGCAGAGCAGAUGCAUGUAGAUCUUCUUGUCGUAGGUAGUCGUGGCCUUGGCGCACACAUAAUUGGGAACUUUAAUGUAAAGUUCUUGGUAUUGUUUAUUUUAACGAAAAAUUACAUUUUUAUACUAAAAAGUUAAUAUUGGAACUAUUCACCUUACCCUUUAUUUUGUCCUUAUCGUUAAAACUCAAAGUUUUCAAAUCAUUUUUAUUAAUUUUCCUCACAUAAUUUCAUUAACAAUCACCUGAAAACGGUACAAAUCAAUUUGGAAAAUAAUUUCCGCAGCAUCAUCGUUGUCUCCCUCCCCACACCUUUGUUCUUGCCAUUGGGUUGAAUAGUAAAAGAAGAAUCAAAUAACCAAAGAGAAUAGGUGUGCAGAAUGAGAAAAAAGAUGUUUGGAAAUCAUUUUCCAUCAGUCUUGGAUUAUCAUCAGAGCUAUUUAUGUGACUUGUAUAGUUUCUUUUGGUGGGUGCAGGGCGUUCUUAGGAAGUGUGAGUGACUAUUGUGCGCAUUAUUAACCAUAAGAAUGUCAGGUGGCAUAAUCUCUGCUAUGACAUGUAAUGAUUCUAUAGUCUUGAUUGUUUUAGUUAGUUACAAGUAUCCUUGAUGGCCAAGUAUCCUAGUCACUAUAGAUAGUGAGCUAAGUCAUUUUCCAAUGUAAUGAAACUGCUAUUGCUGUAAUAACAAAGUCUUCUUUCUCUCUUCUUGACUUUUCGCAUUUCUUCUAUCUUUUCAUUUCUAUGUGUUAAGACACAUCAUGCAACAUGCCCAGUUGUGAUCGUGAAACCACCAAAGGAGUCUGCAGGAAAAUAACCCUUUUAACUAUUGUUCAGCUGCUUUGAUUUCUAUGUAAGAUUGCAGAGAAUAAGAACAAGUGAGGAAAAAUCAAAUAAGAACAAGUGAGGAAAUGGUGUAUUUUGUACUCCCUUUUAUCACGAUAAAAAGAAAUACAAUGCGAGGUUUAUGUAUGUUGAAGACAAUUAAAAACUAUAUUGAAGAUAAUUUAUAGAAAGAAAAAAAAUAUAUAUAUAUAUCGAUAACAUAGGUGAAUGAUAUUUUAUUUUGAGAUUUUAGAAGAAAGAAAAUUUGUAUCUUGCUAUCGAGUUUAAGGUGAAUCUCUUAGAGCAACUCUUAAAUUUGUUAAUGAGCGAAACAAUUGAGUGGCUCACUCAAAUAUUGGCGAACUCGCCCUGUCCAGUAGAGAUCAAGUUUUAAAAGAUGUUAGGCGCUAGUCGGGCGGCGAGCUGAGGCCUAACGCCUAGGCGGACUAGGUGGAUUUAAGUAAAUCUAUUAUAUUUCAUGUAAAUAAGUGUCUGUUUGUACUUAAAAUAUUAUAAUUUCAUCAUAAACUACAAAAUAGAAUAACAUAUAUAUUAUGAAGGAUUGGAACAUAAUGAAAACAUAGGGAACAAGCCUAUAAUGUGUGUUCAUUUAAGUAUUCAACAAGUCUCUUACAAUUAAAUGAAAAAAAAUAAAAUUCAAAAUGAAAGUUAUCUAUUUUCUAUCUAAGUAAGUUGCAACCUAGGCGGAUGCCUAGGCAUUCUAGGCGGGAGCCUUAGCAGGUUUAGGCGCCCUUUCUUAAUUUUCAAAGGCAUUAAUUGAUGCGGUGACCAGCCGCCUAGUACCUAGCCGGGGCCUAGACAGCGCUAGGCAAGGAUUUUUAAAACAAUGGCAGACACUCCCAUUUUAGUAGCUAUCGAGGUGCCAAUCAUUGGUGAAGGGGACUUCUACGUGAAGAGAGUCAUGCUCAGAUAUUGGGUGGAAUCUCUCGUAUGAUAUGUCCGGUGGUAUGAGGAAGCCUGUUGUGAUUUUACUUUACUUUUGGAACAACUAUUAGAUAGGAAGCCUGUUGUGAUUUCGCUUUACCUUUGGAACAACUAUUAGAUCCACAUGUGAUUUGUCUACGUCCUGGUUGGAAAGGCCUUUUAAGUAAGUCUCACAAUGAUAACGCGGUUAUUUUCAACAAGGGGAUUCUCCAAUGGGAAUGGAGGAACUCACAAUUCACAAAAAUCGAACCUAAGAAAUAAAAAUUCAUUUGUGAAAAAAUAUCACCCCGUAAGUGGAAAUCAUUCCUUUACCAUUAAAGUGGAUAAUAAAAUAUGUUCAAACUUGUUAAUUUUUCGUCAUUGAUUUCUUUCAAUUCAAUGAUUCAACUAUCUAACCAAUUCAACUAUUCAAUGAUCCGACUGCUGUUAACCUUUGACCAUUGAAUCUUCUAUUAAUCUUUGACCAUUGAAUCUUCUUUUAACUUAUAGCCACGAAAUUCUCAUUUCUCUCUGUUAGUUUGAUUUGAUCAGCUUUCAGGGGAACAUUACAAGCAGAAUGAUUUAUUAUUGCAAUCCAGUGAGUUAAGAACCUAAUGCAUCACCUAGAGGAGUGCUAAGGACAGUCGCCUAAAAAUUGCUAAAGGGCUGUCGCCAGCCGAUUGACUGUUGGACGUGGAUCAUUGUGGAGCGCAGAAGAACGCGCACAUCAACAGCUAACAGUAACAGUCCACGCACGGCUGAAGCAUGCAGAAGGAAGAAACUACAGCAUUGUAAACCAUUUCAAUGCUUUCAUUUUAACAGAUGUUAUGUCAGUGCUGUAGUCAUAUACCAUAUUCACAAUCUUUCUCCCCGAAUCAAAUAUUCACGGUACGGGUCUAAAACAAUAUACAGUAGGCAGACAUGGAAAUUUACAUAAACGUGAUCCUUUGUCUUUGGGAAGUCAAUGAGUUAGCUUGCUUGCUUGCUUGCAUUUAGCCCUGCAAUAAACCCCAAUCCCCAUAAUUAAAGCACGAAAUCUCAACUCUCAACACCCGUGGGAAACGAACAAGUUCGAAAGACAGACCUGUUGGCUCAGAAUUUCCGCUGCCACGUUAAGAUCCCCAUCUGCAGCUGCUAGGGCAACUUCUACCUGUGUCUGUAGCCCAUUACCAAGACGUUUUUAGAAGAUGUUCAUAACAGAAAGCAUGAACUAUAAUGCUAACCAUCAACUAAACUCGUUAAUGAUGCGCGGUAACGUAUGUCAUAGCAAACUUCCGCGUCCUCUAACUUUACCAAUAUGAAUCAAGGUAGCUAAUAAAAUGCAUACUAUGGGAUAGUUAACUCAUUUGAUUAAGGAGAAAUACAGCACGGUUUAACAUUUUACCCUCUCAAAACCCAUUGAUACAAGCUUUUUGAUUUCUUCUUCAGAAGCAACAUAAUCCUGCAUCUGAAAGACAAGUUAAAGACUUAUCCAGAAGGACCGGAAGAACCGUCAGGGAAAACCCAAAUGAUUAUUUAAAGAGACAAACCUGGUGGUGUACAGGAAUUUCUGCUGCUGCACUAUUUAGUGUUGCCCGCCUGAAAAUAAGAGGAACCGAGGUAGUACCAUUUCCAGCCAAAUGCAUACUGCUUAGGAUUUGCUUUAGAUUUACGUCGUUUACUAGAACUUUGAGAACAUUCUUACUAGUGAAGCAAACUAUUUAUAAAAAAGAAAACAAGGCAGUAGAUGUAAACAUCUAGGGAAUGCAUAAUGCAAUGCUAGUGAAAGAUGCCCAAAACUCGUUAAGCUAUAAGUAUGCAUUAAGUUUUUUUAGUACCUUCCAUCAGAUAACUGCUGUCCUGUACCAAUAACUGCCACAUCUGAUGGACGUUCUGAGUUGCUAUUGUCCAAGAGUCUAGCCUGUAAAUUUGAUUCUGAAUCCACAUCAGAAACAGUACUUCGACCAGAUGCAAGUGUUCUUCCCCUCCCAGGAAACCUGUGACCGUCUUGUGCUGACUGCAUUAUUGCAAUAGGAAGUCAUCAAAUUUAGUCACUGAAUUUAUACCAAACAAAGUGCAUACUUCAAAGUUUGAAUUAAGGGCACAACACUCUUAACAUACAAGUGACAUUUUGAUGUUAGAACAUGGAUCCUAAAGGGGGUCGGUAAGUAAAGGGUUUCCAACAUUUACAUCCUCAAAAGGUGAAAGACACAAUACCUGUACAGAUGUUUCCCUACGUGGGAUCCACGGAGACAAGUUUCUCCAGAUACUUCCAGCAGAGAAUCCACUGGUAAAUAAAAUAUAUCAUUUUACAACUCUUAUAACACUGAUAACUGUAGUCUUUCAAGAAAUCGAAUUACCAAAAUUCAUCAGUCAAGGAAAAGUAAAGGGAACAGAAAUAUACUUACCUACAUGGUGUACCUUGGGUUGAAUAUGUAGGGAUGAAGGCUGAAGGAUUCCCACCAGUGCACACAAUAAAUUUAGGCCGCCUUACACAACUUGACUGGAAGCAUAAAGUUUUAAAGAGAAUAAGAUUAGGAAUGCAUGCAAAUUAUAAACGCAUAAGUUGAAUUAGAUAAGACGAACAAUAGUUGAUUUCCAAAUUGAUGAAUCAUCAAAAGCAGUUUACUUACAAACAAUGAGGAGGCCUCAAUUUUAGAAUAGAAGGAUGUUCCCGGAAUGAGGAAAUUUAAUAAGCUGUAAGUAUCUGUAUUGCAAAGCCAACACAAAACAUUAUCACCGACUUCCUUGUGUGACACAACAAAAUAGAAAACGGGAGAUUAGAAUGAGAGAAACAUACAAGCAAAGCCUGACAAAAUGCCACAUAGGUGUCCCAGUAAAGAAACAUUUGGCAUAACAACUUGGAACACUACCAGCAAGAUCCAUGCAUACCUGAAACAGAUUUAAAUGUCAAAUAAUUAAGAAAAUAUAUGGCAAUGUAAAAGAAUAAGAUUAAACACGACAUAAGCAUUUUACUGCCAUUACCAUUUAGCAGGCACAUUAAAGAGUCCAAACACACAAAUAGUUAGCAGGCACAUAAGCAUUUGACGACCAUGAGAUGAAAUCAGUUUGCACUUUGCAUACAAAAAAAAUAAGGCAUAUUACUUUUUCUACUAACAGAGCAAAUCCCCCCACAAAUAGUUUAUACAGACAAUUUAACUUAAACAAGAUUAAGCUUUUGUGUGGAGAAACAAAAAUAUAAAUAAAAAUGAGUAGAAAUUCUCCAUUAGAGUUCAAAAUGGGCAAGGCAGGCGACCGAAAGAUCUGUGACAUAGCCUGACAUUAGAGGCUCUAAAUUACGGAUUGUUAAGGUAGGCUCAAUAUUUAGGUUUCCAAUGAUUGUAGUUAAGAAAGGCUCAAUAUUUAGGUUUACAAUGAUCGUGAUAUAACGAAAUACUGUUUUGAAGAGACUACGGGAAAGAGGGUGGCGAAAUUCCACUUCUUUCUAAUAACUACAGAUUUCCACACUGACAAUGAAAAAAUUUACCUUGGAAUUUGGAUACAACAUCAGAGGGCGAAGCAAAGCUCGAUUUUGGGUUGGCGAAGGAGAUGAGUCGAGACGAGAGAGACACAGAGUGAGACUGUGAGAGUGAGGUGACUCAGGUGAGGUUGAGUGAGUUAGGUAAUGUAUGAACUGUUGUGAUUAAGUUUCAACCAAAUCCAACGGUCCACGUAAUUCUUAAACAUAAUUUAAUAUUACAUAUAUAUAAAGUAUGUUUCGGUUCGGUUUAAGAUUACAGAACAAAGGCAUAUGGAUCCCGGAUCACAUACUGAACUUUUCGGUUUCAGGUACAAAAUGAUUCAAAAUUCUUGGUUCGGGACGUUUUCAAUUCGGUUUUGCAAAGUUUUCGGUUUGAUUCGGUUCUGCAAAUUUCUUUUCAAAAAAACAAAAAAAAAAACACAAAACGUGUAGGUAUAUGCUAGUAAUAAUAAAGACAAGCCAAUAUGCUAGUAAUAGUUAAGGGUGUGCUCGGUUUCAUUCGGUUCAGUAUUUUGUCAAAAUCGAAACCGAACCAAAACUUCGUUUCAGUUCGAUUUUUUUUAGUUCAAUUUUUCUAGGUUUGGUUUUGUUCGAUUCGAUUUUGAUUUUUUUAUUUAUUUAUAAAACUCAAUUUUUUUUUAAUAUGGAAUUUAAUAUAGAGGCUUACAUUGGUAGACUAAUAAUAAGAAAAUUGGAAAAGUGGGAAGAUUGUUAUACAUAUACAAUUAUAUAUUCUAUCAACAACCUUAAUUGUAAAGAAAAAUGAUCACUGUAUCCAUUCCAAAAGUAAAAAAAUAGAGAAGCUUUUUCAAGUUCCAAAGACUUCCAAAAAAUUUCUCUAUAACCAAUUGAAUAUCCUCCCUAAUUGAACCAAGUAUGUUCCUUGCAAAAGCCUAGGGUUAGUUUCAAACUUGUCAACAAAAUUUCACAAAAGAAACAUCAUGGCCAUAAAUUCAUAGUGUAAAGGGAUUCGGUUUGGUUCAGUUCGAUUCAAUUUUUGAACCUCUAAAAUUGAAACCGAACCAAUAAAGUUCGGUUUGGUUCAGUUUUUCCUUCUUCGAUUCGGUUUUUUUUUUUUCAAUUUUUAGGUUUUGGUUAGGUGUUCGGUCUGAUUUUUUUUUUUUUUAACCCACCCCUAAUAAGACCAUCUCCAACAUUUGGCCUAAAACCUAAAAUUUUUAACCCAGAAAAUUUAGGUUUUAACCUAGAAACAGUUUUUCUGUUCUAACCCUUUUGGCCUAAAAAUUUAGCCCUAGAUUAACAAAUGAAUUUAGGCUAAUUUUUUUUUAAAUUAACUUUAAAAAUAUAUAUAUAGACUAUCCUAAAUUAAUUUUAUGAACAUUUUAACCUAAAAAUAUUUAAAUUCCGAUAAACAUUGAAAAAUCACUAAACCGACACAUGAAACUCAUGAAACACUAUAGAAAAAUAUGAAACACAUGAUAUAGAUGUAUAAACACAAGACACAUGAGCAAACACAUGGUUUUGGAAGAUGGUAGAAAGAAAAAUUGGAAGAAUUAUAGGAGAAAAGUGAGUUUUAUAUGGAUGUUUGAACAAAUAUAUAGGUAUUUAUAGAGUUUUUUGGGGGAAUUUUGAGUUAAAUAAUUUUUUAUAAUUAUUUUAACCGUUGAAUUUAAAUCUAAGCCGUUAGAAAAAAAAAAUUUUACCGUUAGAUUUGAUCAUAUUCGAUCGCAGUUAUUGGAUUCAAUAAAUUUAUAAAUGUAAAACAAAAAUAUUAACUAAAUUAAAUGUGAACCGUUGGAUAACCAACAACCCAUUUGAAUGUGAACCGUUGAUCAACCAAAAGAGCCGUUUGGCUCAAUUUUAUUGGCAAACAAGUGGAAGAGACACCCAUGUGAAUGGGGCUCCACCACUAAUAUUGGCCUAAAUCUAGCUUUUUUUUAGGUUUUAGAUCCAAAUUAAAACUUGGAUUUGAAUGAAUUGGGGAAAUAAAAGGGAAAUUACAGGUUUUAGGCAUUGGUUUGGAGUUGGCCUAAUAUUAAAGACAAGCCAAUGAGUAUUACAUUUUAAUAAAUUGUUUUCAUUAUUGAAAUCUAAAAAAAUACGAGUUUCGCAGCCGAAAAAUAAAUUAAAAAUACUUAAAAUAUUUAUAAAAAAAAAAAAAAAAAAAAAAAAAACCAAGUUGAUUACAGGCUCUCUGUCUCUCUCCCCUUUGCCCUGCGCCGUUCCGUUGUGUUCAGCGAUUCAGCACACCCUUCCCGGCGCCAGUUUCCUGUCCUCUUAACUCUCCUCCGCAACUCUAACAUCCAGGUCAGUAUUCACUUCUCUCACCCAUAUCUGCACUUCCUGUGGCCGAUACCUUAUCAUUCUCACUGCAUCUGCUACUUACUAUCAAACUCAUUUUUUUGUAAAUUUCACUUCUUAAUUAUUCCUUAUGUUGUUCCUUUAAUCAGAAUUAGGCUUAAAUUUUAGUUAGGUUUGUGAAUUGAAAUAACAAUUCCUAAUCACAAGCUUUGGUAUAAAGGCCAUUAAUUUAGUAUUUUAUAUUUUUUUCUCCCUUUAUUUUUCUUGCUAUAUUUUUUAUCUCAUUUUUGUAAAUUUAUGUUGUUGAAACAUACGGGUUUAGUCCCAAUACUUACAUUAAUUUCCACGCACGUAUUUUUACCUCUCACACGCCCAGUUCAGUUGUCGCCUGUAUGAAUUGAAGAAGAUUAAUGGACAAAAAUUAAUGAGAAAUAAAAAAUGUAUGUGAAUAGCGCUACCCUAAUUUAUGUAAUACAGCAAUCACAACAACAACCAAGCCUUAUCCCACUAAGUAAGAUCGGUAAUAUGAAUCCUAGAACGCCAUUGCGCUCAUUUUUGUGCCAUGUCUACCCUAUUGUAUGUAAUAUUGGGAAGAAAAAAAAUUAAGGUACUGUCAAAUAAAGAUCAAAUUUGUAAUCUAAUUUGUAGUUAUAUAUCAAUAUAUUUCAUCCUCAAAAGUAAGUUAUGUAUGCAUUAGUUUCUGUAAAAAUGUGUUCCCGGUUCCUGUUACGACCUCGUUUGCUGAGUUAUGUUUACCUUAGUUUUCAUCUUCUUGUUCUUCUGUUCUUCUUUUUAAAUUUGAUGACGUAUUAGUUUAUGUUCGAUUUUGAUAGAAUGUUGGUUGUUGGAAAGUGAAAACAAGGAAGCUAAUUAUGCUUGAAGUAGAAUUUGCCUCGCAAAGAUACUUUAAAUGUUUUCUUUCUGUUUCUGUUUGUUUAAUUACUUGACGUGUUUUCGGAUCAGUUGGAGUUCUAGAUUAUGUUUGGGAGAGUUUGAUCUGCAGAUCUUACUUUGAUACGAUACGAGCACAUAGAUUGUAAGAAGUAUCUACAUCAACUAGUUGAGAAUUGGACUUAAGUUGGUUAGUUAGAAGUACAUGGAUUGUUCGCUCGAUGAACCAUCGGUUGGAUUUUGUCUUGCUUUCCUGUGAACUGGUAUAUAGUUGAAAUGUAACAAGAACUCGUGCAAUCAACUGUUUUAUUGCACCUGGCAAUAAUGAAAUGGUUUGGUUAUUCGGGGAAGUGUCCCAGAAUAUCACAAUUCAACUCUUUUGGGUCGCAUAAUGUUUCUCAUUUGGUGUGAUUUCAUUUCUUUUAUGACCCAAUUUGCAAUAAUCAGCUCAAUAUGUUGAUAAUUGUUACUAUUUCAAGCCAAACUAAAAAGGAAAACGAUCAAAGUAAUUUUGUAAAAUAUCGAGUUUGUAUGGAAAUUAAUGAUGGAAUUCGCUAACAUUGUUGCUAAUCAUGUUUAUGUACAGAUCGCGACAUGUGUUCAAGGUAUAUUCGUUAGUGCUUAAUGCUUCAAUGGAGUAUCUUGUAAGUUUCCCAACAAUGUCAACUCUAAAUGUUCUUGUGAUUGUUAUCCUUAUUUCUGUUUUCGUAUGGUUAGUAUGUUAUUUUUUUUCUAUUCGUUUAACGUUCUUUUUCUUUCAGGGUUCUGAAACAAGUACUCCUAGUCAGAUUGGGGACCGAUCAACCAGUGAUGUUGUUGUGAGGAUACGCACAGAGGAUGGGCGGGAUGAUCGGCUAUAUUGUCAUUCCCAGAUCCUCAUAGAAAAGAGCAAGUAUUUCGCUGAUCGCCUCUCUGAAAAUUGGCCGACAUGUCAGAUUCUUGACUCACGCAACUGCGUUGACGUAUACUGCCAAGAGUCAGAAUUUGACCACCAUGUCAGUGUUCUCCGCCUUUUUUACAUCAUAGUAGAUGGCUUAGUUGAUGACUUGUGGCAUGGUGUAAAAAACGCCAUUGGAAUUCUCCAGGUGGCUGUCAAGCUUGGAUGCCCACAAAUCAUAACUGCUUGUGUGAACUACUUGGAAGCAGUUCCCUGGGAAGAGUCCGAGGAGGAGGAGAUUUUAAAGAUCAUACCACGCUUGGGAUCACAAGUGGAGCCAAUUCUUGCCCGUCUUCUUCCAGUCAAUCACUCAUCAAUCAUGGCGAUAUUUUUGUCAACCAUCCGAUUUGCCACAUCGUCCCCUCUUCCAAUCAUGAAUGAUCUCAAGUCUUCUGCCCAGGAGCAGCUUGAGUACAUGCUAACUGAAGACGAUGAUGCCCCUCUCCUAACAGCCGAUGAUGAGAUUAAAUCCGAGGUGAAAGAAUGUGUGAAGAGACUAUAUGGAAGAUUUAAUAAUCUAUUAGAAGCUUUGUUAAGUGAAGUAGAAUUAUCUUCUGAUGGAGGGAAGAUGCAAUCAUUUCAAAGGCUUUUAUCAGAUCUGUCGUGGGCGUGCCAGAUUUUAACUAAGUUGGAAAUUAUGAGGGAACUUGUCUGCAAUUGGAUGGAUGCAUCGGAUAAAAUAGUUAAGGCUGUAAAGCAAGCAAGGCCGACAACUGAACUGAUUGAGACAAAGCUUAGGGUUGUUGAGGUUGCAGCAAAGAUUCUAGAGGCAAUAGGUUACGGCACUGUCAUUUUGCCAACUGCAAAACGGCUUCAUAUGGUAAAGGUAUGGCUUCCUUUUGUGAGGGUUGCGAAACCAGUGAUUGAUUCCGCCACAACUACCGGUGAUGAUGCUCCUACGCUGAAGAUGGAUAGUGAGCUGUGGCAAUCGUUGGAAUCGACAUUUGUUUCCAUAAUUCUUGCACUUCCAUCUGUUGAACAGGCAGAGAUAUUGACCGAAUGGUUGGAGAACGAACAUAUUCAAUAUCCUGACCUGACUGAGGCAUUUGAGGUAUGGUGUUACAGAUCCAAGGUUUCCAAAAGAAGACUAUCGUUUAUAUCGGUGAACCAUGACAAAAUCGAUACACAUUAAGUCGUUAACCUCUUCUCUUGACCCUUUUCAACCGUUUUAGUAGCUACUGGUUUCUCGGACACCCUUUCUUAACCAAUGUGUUUUGCAAAAACUUGGGGAGAAGGGGUUAAUGAUCGCGGAAGUAGAUGGAAUAUUUGAACUAGUAGCUCUGUUGUGAACUUGUUCUGUAUAGACUGAAUCUCGCUAGGUUGUCAUGUCAUUUAAUUUCGGGUCUCGUAACUCCGGCUCAUAUGUAAAAAAUUGUAAUUGUUGGGGUUCUUCAUGAAACAAGGCUACCCAACUCAAAUCUCCUAGUUAAUUUUGUAAGUAUGAAUACCGUAUUUGAAGAGUAUCAGUGAGAGUUGCUUCCAUUUUGCGUACAGAAAUAUAUUCACAAGAAUUCGUUAUGCUCUGGUGGGUGCUCUUUAGGUUGGGCUGACUCAUCUAGAAAAAUAGAGGGCAAUUGGCAGGAACGAUCACUUUGUGACAUUUUGUUGCAGAAACGGUAGCGGUCAGUUGUUAUGUUGUCAUUAGAUCAUUGUUCGUAAUUAUUAUGUCAUUGUUGAAUUAGUAAUAUAUGAUCAAUAUGUUAUCGUUAAUAAAAGAUGAUCAUUUAUGUAACAAAUCUUAAAAAGUGCUAAUUACUCAAAAAACGAAGAAAAAGAAAAUUUGAGUAAACUUUGAGACUGACUCCAAUAUGGCAGUGCUUUUAGAACGACAGCUAAUAUUGGAUUACAAAAGCACUUUUCGGUAUUUACCAAAGACAAAGGUGCUUCAAUUCAUGAGCAAGGUGGAGUUUUAUAAAAUUUUAACGCACUGGAAUUUUAUCCUCAAAGAUACAAGAAGCAAGAAAUCCUCCAGAAAUGUAUGUGCACAAUGCUGCAAUCAAAACUAGCAAAUAAAAGUUCGGCUGAAAAGUUGGGUGGGGGCGUUGAAGAAAACAUGAAGAGAUAAAAACACAGCCUGGAGGAGUAGCAAAAAAAAUACUGCUCUGCUUUAGCUUGUCUUGAAUUUUGAUGCAAUAUGAGAGCUUCCGCCAACAUCUUUCUAGUAUCCGUCUAUGCCUUGCAGGCAGUAAAGUUUGAUGCCGAGUUGUGAAUCUGCACCCAUCGAAACACGGUCACGUUUCAGAUUUGGUUAAUGUGACCUAACUACACAUUAAUAGAAUUGCCUCUCCCCAAUGAUCGUAAAAAGCACAAUAGUGUUCAGAUUUCACAACAAACUCAAUCAGAAUUAAGCAUGCAUAUCUUAACUGCGUUCUUAGCAUAUGCUAAUUUAAAGCGGGAGCCUUGUGCACUGGGUACGACCUUUUUUUAUAAUACAGCAAAUGUAGACUUCCCAUUACAUAUUAUUGUGAAGGAAGAAAGAAAUUUUCACCGGCCAACCGUCACUUACCAGUUUAUGGUCACAAGAGAAUACAGAGCUCCUACUUCUCUACCUCCCACCCUUCUAAUCUCGUCUCAGGAUCAUAGUUUGUGAACAGCCGAAACUCGUUUCCUAGUUUGCUAGAGUGUUGAGGCCUAAAACCACACGGAUGCAAUCCCAUGAGUUCAGCUGCUCUCUCUUUCUGCACAGCUCCUGCAAGUAAGUCAUCAUAUAACAAUUUAGUUGGAUGCACUCAGCUGAAAUGUGCAAGAAACAACAUUGUUUAAUUUAAAAUGUAUUAUUCUUGUCUUCUAGAAGUAAUUACCGUUUAGCCUGUGUAGGAAUGACAAUACUCUUAUUGCGUUUUACAAAAUUAUACAUGCUAAUGUUUACCUGUGAGGAGAAGCAAGUGAGAUUUUUCUGAUCGUGCUAGAAAUGAAAUUGUUUGAGCAACUUUCUCCAAACACUCCUGACUCUGAAAACACCAGUUAUACUACAUAAGCAAUAUGUUCACAACCAUCAAAACAUCCAAAAUACCACAAGUUCACAGCUACAUUUGUCUGAAGAACCGUAUUCCCCAAUCUAACUAGUCUGAAUCCAACGAAAAAGAGGAAGUGGAUGAAACUACAUGCCCCACCUAUGCAACUGGACUCAGCGUCUGUACAACAGAUGUAGAAAAGCAAUGCGGUAACUAAACGCGGUACAUACAAUCAUCAAAAUGUAUUUCGACUUCUUACGGAGUGUGUGAAGAUUCAUAUUCUUUUGUACAUAACACACACAGCAUAUCCCAUAGUGAGAACGCACAUAUGGCCAAACAUGAAUCGGUGAUACAAAUUGAACUCGCUGAACCGAAGCAACAAAAGAUUAACUAACACUAUCGGAACAAAAGACAUAAAAGAAUCAUAAUUUCGCAAUUGCUCACCAGGUAAGGAGGAUCAGCAACCACAAUGUCAAAAGCAUUCUUCAGCUCCAAUGGCAAAUCUUCAGGCCGGUUGUAAUCGUAGAACGAGAAAUCACUGCCGUACUGCUCAAACCGCUUGUCAUACUCGAGCAGUUGUACAGACACAUCGGAAUCAGCAUUCUGAAAAUCCAAAAAUCAGUGAAAAAAAUAAAGAAACCAAAAUCAUUAGCACUACGGUCUAGUCACAAGUGUUCAACUCUCGUGAAUGGCGAGUUCAAUAUGAAAUUACUGCAGGCCCAUUGUGUGGCUUAACUCAAAUCCGCUCUUUCCCAAUACAGUCGUAUCAAACAAAAGAUUUAAAAUUUGAUAAAAACCCAGAUAUUGAAAAGAUGAAAGGACCUUGAGAUAGGCGUAGAGUGAGGGGCAAGCCACGCAGGCGACCCGAGCGGAGGCGGUGGCGGAGUUGCAGAGAGUGAGGACCUCUUGGGCUAGGGUUUGGGCGGUGCGGGGGUCGUACCAGAACUGACUCAGUCUCCAGUCUUCGGAGAUCAGAGCCGGACCGGUCGAAUCGGUUGCUUGGCUCUCGGCGGCGGUGUCGGGUGAUGACUGGCUUUGCUCGGCUAGGAACUCCUUCAGAGCUUCUAGGGCUUGAAGGCUUAGGGUCGGUGCGUCGUCGUCGUCGUUUGAGGCGACGCUCCGGUGGUUGGGGAGGGUUUGGGCGGAGAGGUUUUGUUCCAUUUUUUGCGGUGUUUUGGACAGAAGCUUGGUUGUUGUGAUGACACUAGUGCGUCGGCUGCGGGCGGGUAUUUAUACCCGUUUAUUCAGUUUUCAGGUUUUAGUUGUUUGUAUUUGUUUUCGGUUAUUAUUAUUUUUAUUUUAUUUUGGAUGAAGUACGAAGGAAAACGUACAAUCAAAUAGGAUAGGAUGCUAAUAAUGAGCCUUGUUAAAAACCUUGUCGGAGAUUUCAACUCGACCAAAGGAAAAAGAGUAUUUCGCACCUCUAAAUUAAAUAGUAAUACUAUCUUAAUAAAAAAAUAAGCCCAAUCUCGCAAGCCGAUGUGCAAUCUUGUUCGUCUCCCGUCGACCAAAUGUGACCUUCCAAUUCAGAAUAGACUUCAACAAUUGACUAGCAUCAUUCAAAAAAUAUUCCCAAAGGUACCAUUGCAUGGAGUUGCCGCAUCCUUUUGAAGAGCAUUGAUAACCAUCAUUGCGUCCCCAUACACUGCCAAAUGAGUUACUCCCAGGUCGUGAGCAAAAAGUAUUGUUGCCCGAGCAUCCAUGAUCUCAACCAGCAUUGCCGAGCAGACCCCUCGAAUUUUCAUUGAUGUACCUGCCACAAAAGCACCAUUCUCAUCUCGAUCACCACGCCAAUACCCCCUAGCUCACCUAAUUCAUCCCACGCACAACCAAAUUUGCAUUUAAGCCAACCCACAUCAGGUUUCUCCCAUUUUUUGAGGGAUUGACGGUAUGCUGCAUUUCUUGAAACCGUGCCACUUCCUAAAUUCCUACAACCAAGCUUGGGAUUUGCCGUUGAUAUCCACCUGAUUCAAAGCUAAGUCAAAGCUUUGACGGGCAAGUAAUCCCGCCACCUCAACCAGCCACAUACGAAAACCACCACAUGGAUAUGCCUUUCCAUCCUCAAACAUAAUGGGCUAGAGAACCAGAUAGACGCUGAUCUUGGGCAUUCCAACAACGUAUGUUCAACACCUUCCGGGUCUCCAUCGCAGGAAAGACAAUUUUCAGUAGUGAUGAUCUUCCUUCUCUUCAAAUUUGCUCUAGUUGGUAGGGUGUUUAGACAGCACCGCCUGUAAAACUUUAAAGACUCGAUUUGGGCCAACCACAGUGGGUAGUUGCUCCUAUCAAGCUUGAUGUGGACCAUGGUAGUCAUGGAGGAAAAGGGAUGGGUGGGAGUGUUUGAAGUGACGGUAGUGGAGGGUUGAGAGGAAGUACCAUUGUUGUCAGCUAUUGGAAGCGAGGAAAAAAAGAAGAUCUUUUGUCGUUAGACAGUAAGGCUCUGAUACCAUGUAAAACUUUAAAGACUCAGUUUCUUUCACUUCAAUUGCAUACCCAGUUAAUGAUGGGAUGCAUGUAUUUAUAUUGACUUGAGGAUUACAUAAAGGGUUUGAAAACCCCGAGAUACAAGGACUAUUCAAAAAUUACAAAUCUGAUAAAAUUGCAUGCGCAACUUUAGUUACAACAAACAUUUGAAAAAGUCAACAAUCCUAUAAACGAGGAACAGCUAAAGAGAAGAGGUUGAACUGAUGAAGACUCCUCAAGUUGCAGGAAUGUCGGUGUGGGCUUGACUUAGUCUAACACCGCCAUGCGCAUAUUUUAACCUUCUAUGGUACACAAGUUCUCCACAAAGUCUUCCACGUAUAUUUUAACUCCCCAUUCAUUUCAGAGCCAGUUGAUUCAUCCCCACCUAUAUUUCUACAAGACCGAGCUACAAAGUAAGCAUUUUUUUGUUGAAAAUACUCCGUUCCUCUCCACAACCCAAAUUAAAUUAUCUGGUGGCUUGAAAAAACUCAAGGGGAUACUCAAAAUCAACUUUGUCUCUUCCUUAGAGAAUAUGCACUUAAUUAAAUCCACAUUCCAUUUGAGACACCCCUCAUCCACCAUCAGACUAUUCAUUGUAGUAUCAUGCUCCACUCCAACAGGAAUAAGACUUAAAACCUUAAAGAAACUCUCUCUGGGCAGCCAACUAUCCCCCCAGAUUUUAAUCUGUGUACCGUCCUUUACCCACCACCUAGAACCCCUUCGAAUAAUCACUUGAGCCUCCGCCAUACUUCUUCAGCAAUACGACGCAUUUGUCUUCACCGGGGCUUGCAAAAAGUCUAGCUUUAGAGAGUAUCGAGCUUUGAAAACAUGUGCAGCAAGAGAAUCUAGUUGUUGGAUGAAACGCCAUCCUUGCUUGGCAAGUAAUGCAAGGUUGAAUGCGUAGAGGUCUUUAAACCCUAAACCCCCCCCCCCUUCACUUUUAGGCUUGCACAUUAUACUCCACUUCAUCCAAUGAAGUCAACGUUUGCCCAAUUCGUAAAGGUCUUUAAACCCUAAACCCCCCCUCACUUUCAGUUAUUAAUUUUUCAAGUUAUGAAAAAAAAUUAAUUAAUUUUAAAGAAAUAAAAAUAAUAAUUGAAAACAAAAUGUUAUCAAAAGAGCUCUAUUAGUGCCUAGCGUUUAAAAAUUAAGAAAUGAUGCCUAAACCUGCUGAGACGUCCGCCUAGACCCCCUAGCCCGUCCAGACCUGUCUAGACACAGCCUAGGUUGUGGCUCACUAAGAUAAAAAAUAUAUAACUUUCAUUUUGCAUUUUAUUUUUUUCAAUAAAUUGUAAUAGAUUUGUUGAAUACUUAAAUGAGCACACAUUACAUGCUUGUUCGCCAUGUUUUCAUUAUGUUCCAAUACUUCAUAAAUAUAUGUCAUUCUAUUUUGUAGUUUAUGAUGAAAUUAUAUAUAUUUUAAGUAUAAACAGACAUUUAUGAACAUGAAACAAAAUGGAUUUACUUAAAUCCGCCUAGGCGCUCGCCUUGACCUCAUCUAGGCGCUAGACCCCAACCCGACUAGUGCUUAAUGUCUUUUAAAACCUUAAUUAUAUAUGAAUUAUUGUCCCUAUGCAUGUGGUCCAAUAUCCUAGUAGAUAUGGUGUUGAAUUUUCACCCAUGUGUCUAGGGUUCAAAACACUUCUCUCUCCUAAAUUAUGUAAUAGUUUUGAACCUCUCCUAAAUUAUUUAAAUAAAAAAAAUUGUCCCAACUUUUUAUUUAUUCUUACCCCCUUAAAGUUUCAAUUCAUGUCAACUGAAGGUUUAGAGGACUUGAAACCAAAUUGAAACAUUACGGUGUAUAACUAAAGUUUUAUCGAUAAAAAUGGAAAACGCAAUUAACUUGCUGCUCAAUUGGUUAAGAAUAUUUACAAUAUAAGCAUAUUUGUCAACUAGGCCCUUUCCAGUAUAAGCAUUGAUCAAAAAAUUUGGGAUACAAAUAUCUGGAGUAAAAUUCUACGAUUCCCAUUCGUCAUAGAUCUUCUCAUCACUUUCAAUGUCGCCAAUCUUCAAGAUCGAGGUUAUUACACUUAUAUACAUCCAUCUGCAUGACAUUUAGAACACAGAAAAAACAAAUUCUCCUUCUACAAUCCCAAAACUUCUUACUGAGAAAACCACAAAGAUAUUCACCAAAAGUCUAGUUUUCCGGUGCUGAAAUCUCGACUUAUAUCGUUGAAUCCUGGUGAAGCAGACGUCCAUUGAAUUACAAGUACAGACUAAGGACGAAAUUCUGUUUUUGUUUCAAGAACAUUACAGUACCCAAGCCUCGAUCUUCAGUUCGUCUGUUUAAUAUUAUUUCGUUUUGUUCAUACUCUGUUAGAUUAUUUUUUUGCAUUUAUUAUUUAAUAGCAUAUAUAAAUUUAUCAUUGAUUGUUGAUAUUUAUCCAACAUACGCUCCCCUGUCUUUUAGAACUUGGUUAUCAGUUUCUCAACCUUCACUAGCAUUGCCAAUGCCUUAUUCACAUUUUGUGCUUUCGUAUAACCAUUUGCUCCAUUGACAUAACAAUCCCAACUAGACCUGGCAUUUUGGACCCAACCCAUUAACCCGACCCGACCCGUUAAUAUUAGUAUUUGGACGGAUGUUUAACGGGUUGGGUCGCUAACGAGUGAACCCGUUAAAUAACGGGUCACUUUGAGUCAACCAGUUGGAUCCGUUAGCACUCAUUAGUUAAGGAUAUUUUAGUAAUUUUAGUAAAGUCUUAACAACAAAAAAUAAACUCUAUGCAAAAAAUAAUUAUUAUUAUUAUUAACGGAUGAAAUAGGUGACCCGUUAGCUUAACGGGUUGGGUUCGGGUGAUCCGUUAGCUUAACGGAUCAGGUUCGGAUGACCCAUUAACUUAACGAGUCGAAUUGAACCCGAUCCAAAUCCGAUAAACCCGACUUGUUUAUAGAUCUAAUCCCAACCCAUAGGAACCACGGGAUUGGAUUCCCACUCUGCCAUAACCUUGUCAAUUCCCUCAAGAUCAGAAGCAGCUGCACAUGCAUUGCGUUGGAUACUAUGUGUAUUUGUCACAACAAUGUCCCUCUUUUCCAUUUCACUUAUUAGAACAUUGAAUUUGUCCAGUCUGAUAAUACAAAUUGAGCAAAAUGUUGUAGGAUUCCCUCUCUUCCAUUUCACUUAUUAGAACAUUGAAUUUGUCAGUGUUUCCAGUCUGAUAAUACAAAUUGAGCAAAAUGUUGUAGGAUUGAGCAAAAUGUUGUAGGAGUCCUACAACAUUUUGCUCAAUUUGUAUUAUCAGACUGGAAACACUGACAAAUUUAAUGUUCUAAUAAGUGAAAUGGAAGAGAGGGACAUUGUUUUGGAUAAGCAAAGCCGUUCAGUAGAGCACAGUAAACCUCGAGAGUUUUCAAUUGUUUUGGAAUGUUGUUAAAAUAAUCCUCAACUUGUUCUAUUCCAUGAAUGUUUGCAAUCAAUUCGAGUCGGUUAACAACAUCAGAGCUCAUAAGCCGAAAGUAGCUUAUGUUAGUCAUCCACAUUGAUAUCUGAGAACAAAUGAACGAAAGCAUACUUUCAGAAGCAGGGUUGCUAGAAAUCUAAGUAUCAAGAAGAUGAAAAAGAUGGAAAGCUUGACUACUUGGCUGGUCUUAUUUUGAAUUCUAAUCAUGGCUAUCAGAAUUAACAGUCUAAACAAAUAUGAGCUUCUUCUAAGAGGGAUCCCUCACCAUUCUUGGAGCGAGAUAGAACAGUACCCUCAUUUGAGCCAUCUCGCAACCAUGUAUUUGACAAUAUAGCGACCCACAGAGUAGGGCCAAAAAGGGCAAAAACAUUGAAUUUAAAUGGCCACUACAUGGUCAAUGCAUGGCCUCGAAAUGGUCGAUAAAAGGGUACAAUCCUAUCAUGUUCCAAUAGCGGGAUCCCCGAUAGGUCUAUAUGCAUUCAAACUCUGAUAGGAACACAAUUAAGCUACCCUAUUAGCACAAUUUUAAUCUAUUGAUAGUUCAGUUUCACCGAGUUCAAUAUUUGUUUAAUUAAGUAGUAACCUGAAUGACAACCCUAAUUUAUUAACCAUAAAGCUAUAGUUUGGGGCCAAAACAUGACAAAGACACUGAACUAUAAACAAUCACAGUAUGAUCAAUACCUGGCCACAAAAUAGUCAAUACGAGGUCACUUUCCCAUUCCUCUUCAAGGAUCCUUUUAUGAAUACAUAUAUACACACAUAUAAGAGUUAAACUCGUUAUGCAUUCAAAUGAUGUUAGGAAAACAAUUAUAUUACUACAAUUAGCAUAAUUUCAAUCCAUUGGUAAUCCAAUGUCACCGAGUCGUCGAGAAUCGACGUAACGAGGAGCGUCGGAUGUCCGGAGCGAGAAAUCAAAUUGUAGAGGUCGUUCAGUGUGCCUCUCGAGGACUCUUUGUAAGGCCAGGGAUUCGUCUUUGUCCAGUACAAAUUGAACAACGAGGUCAGGCGAGAGUGCUUCAUUUUGGAAAGAGAGCCCAGGGGAGGAGUAUUGAUCAAAUAUAGCAAAAAAUUAACUCUUAAUUUUAAAAAUGUCACUUUUUAUAAAAACUUUCAAAUAUAUCCAAAAUUUCACUUAAAUAAACACAAAUACCCUCAAAUUUUACAAUUAAAUAAAUUAAAGGCUUUUUAGCUACUGUCGCCUCAAGCUCCGGUCCAACAUCACCUUCGCUUCUACACUCCACCACCACAACCCUAUCCACUUCGACCCCUUCAUCACCGACAUUGAGCGUCACCACGGUUACUACAAGUGGGAGCAGUAGAAUUUCAAUCAUGCCUUAAACGCCUUUUUUCUUACUAAUAUCAUUUUUAGUUUUAAAUAUAAAAAUAGUUUUUAAAGUUAAUCCACAUGUCGUUAUAUGAUUGUAUUUGUGAUAUCCACGUGGUGCCACAUUUUCACAUUGUUGAGCAAAAAAUUGUACACAACAUGUAAACAAAUAAUUCACUCGACACAAUUUCACCCUUGUUCAUUUUUUUGAAGAAGGUUUUAUUAAUUUGAGUUCGACCAAUUCUAGACUAAUUACAAUCAUUCGUUAAAAAGGAAAAACCCUUUAAUUCCAGUAUGAAUAAAUCGUAACUUGGGGAUUUGGGUGUUUAUUUGAUUUUGCGACUGCACCUAGGUCGAGCCCUAGAUUGCCUACCUACCAUCGUUGAGGGAUAAGUCGCUCGUAGUUCUUUUUGUAUUUGUUGGGGUUUGAUGCCUUGUGCUGUUUAGGCUCUUGCAGGCGAGGACUUUGAGUCAUUUGGAGCUUUUGAUGCCUUAUGCAGUUUUAGCUCGUGCGGGCGAGGACUUUGAACCAUUGGAGCAGGACGAGGCUUUGUGCCAUUUGUGACUUGAUGUGGCUUUGUGCCAUUUGAAAUUUGACGUGGCUUUAUGCCAUUUGAUAUUUGACGUGACUUCGUGUCAUUUGAGACUUGUCGUGGCUUUGUGCCAUUUGAUAUUUGAUGUGGCUUCGUGCCAUUUGAGACUUGUCGCGGCUUCGUGCCAUUUGUAUCGACUUCGUGCCAUUUGUAGUGGCUUUGUGCCAUUUGGGCUUUGAUGCAGUUUCGUGCCCUUUGACAUUCGAUGUGGCUUUGUGCCAUUUGAGGCAGCCUAAGUGAAUUAAUCCACUAAUAUUUUGGCAUUUGACCUUUGCUUAGUGUCGUAUCUUUUGUCUCCGCAUUUCAGGCUUCAUGAAUAAUUUCAACUUGAUGGAGGCCAUAUUCAUAAAGCCCAUGUGUGUAUCAUGGAGGUUCAUCCAUCCUUCUUUUAUUUCUUAGACAGAAGACAUAGAAGCAGCAAUUACAUCUUCAUUUCAGAGGAUUUUGUCUUAUUUCUUUGUGGGGCCAUGUUUAAAUAGCCUUUUUAUAGGAUUGGAACCUUAUAGGAACAUCAUUUUAAAUAUGCUUUUGAUGGGACCUUCCUAAUUGUAGGAAGUCAUCAUUUUCUUUUUUGAUUUCACCACCGAAGCUUGUUGCAACACCCAUUUUAGUGGGUUCUUUACGAAAGGCAUACAAUAACCCAGCGGUUAUGGUCCUUAAAACCGCAAUGGAGAUUGCUUUGUUCAUCUUCAUUACUUUUUCACUUCCCAUAUUUGCAUGAGAAGAAAAUAAAUGAACGACGGUGAGUAGAAGUCGCCCUCCUUUCAUUUGCUGUAGUCAUCAGAUUCGGUGGUUUCUUUCCCCAAGUGUGUACUUAAAACAAAAGGGCAGGAUGACUCUUUUUUCUGAUAUUUGUAAAGAACUCGUAGUUGCUGGGCUUUCUCCAGGACUUGUCACCAAGGAAGGAGCAUACCGUUCUUCGCUGCAAUAGUAGAGGAAUGUUGUUGUCAUCGCUGUUUGGCAGCUGCGGUGUUACUCUACACGAGACUGUUGCAUCUCCGUUGCUUUCAGCUUUUGCUUUCUUUAGACUCGUGCUAUUUGUGGGAGUUUGGUUGUGGUGAAAACGGAUGACUGCACGUGUCUUCCUUCUCGGGAUGGAGUAUGGACGAUGAGGAGCAUCGAUCAAUCCUUGGAAAUUCAAGGAGCCAGCAAUGAUGGCGGACGUCUAGCCGUGGAACAUCCUCGAACUUCGUUGAGUGGUCUAAACCACUUAGAAAUUCAUGGCAGCGAAAGCUCGGUGGAAGCUUGGAGGACUCUAUCAGUGACCACCUUGAGAACAUGCUGCGGUUCCUGGGCUUGCGGAUCGGAGAACGGUGUGGUUGUUGUGGUCGUUGGUGUUGUUGAAGUGGUGGUGUUUGACGGCUGCACGUGGGCUUUGAUCUUGAUCCGGAGAAGGCUCGGUAGUGAGGAAAAAAAGUUAUUUUUGCUUCUUAGGAAGUGGUUUCCAUCAUCUUCGUUUCUGUAGGUGCGAAGCUUGUUGAUGACGGUGGAUGUGUCACAGCUGAACCCUUCACAGGCGUGGUGGAGGCUGGUUCCGUCGUCCUUGGGGAGGUUAGCAUCGACGGUAGUGAUUACCGCAGUCGCCGUGUUCGUAGAUCGGGAGACGUCGCAUGAGGAUAUGAACAGGGAAAUAGGAGAGUUUCGUAGUUCUGCUAUAUGCGUGGGCUUUGGUGGAGGAUCCAAGAGAGGAGCUGUGUAGCCUUGGAAAUUUGAAGUGGAAAUAUGAGGUUUAUCCUUCUGAUGGCCAUGAUGGUGGAAGUUUCACCAUUUUCUUUGCUUAGGUGAAAAUAAGAAGAGCCAAGUCUUCUUUCUUUUCCUUUGCAAAAAACUGAACCAACACCAAGACAAAGAACAAAAUAUAAACAAUAAAUUCAUACCUAAUAUUUUUGCUCCCUUUGUCGUGUCUUCCUUGCUUUCCCUAUUUUCUUUUGUCGUGAACCCCUCUGUACCCAUCUCUGCCCUUUUUGUUGGUUUUUCCUUGUGCUUUUAUGUCGAUCUCCCCUUUUAUAGACUUAGGGUGACAAGGAAAAGUGGGGGGGGGGGGGGGGGGGUGAGAAAAUGAGUAGUUUUUCACUAACUUCCUUUUGCACGUUGGAGGAAAUAGGCAACUCCUCAUAUGUUCCAGCAACAUGGCUCUUAUUUUUCUAAUUUAAUUCAUUUUUUUAUUUGUUUAAAAAAAAAGAAUGGUGUAGAUUUUCUUGGUUAAUCUUCACCGUGGAUUUUAAUUGCCACCAUCAUCUCCACUUUCGUUGUAUUGAGGAACCUUUUUUUUGUUUUUUACCCCCAACACACACUAAUAGAGCAAUUGACAGAUUUUUCACAAAAAAACUAAAAUGAUUAUGAUGGAAAAAUUCAAAGAAAGACUAAAAUGAUUCAUGAUAAACAAAUUCAAGAACACUACUAUUGAUUAUUAUUAAUUAUUAAGGAUCAAAUUAAGGAAUUAUGUCAAUGUCACGAAUCAUUUUGGCUAAAAAACCUUUUAUUUAUUUGAUUGUUAAAUUUGAGGGUAUUUGUGUCUAUUUAGGUGGAAUUUUAGAUAUAUUUGAAAUAUGGGUAAAAGACUGUUUACACCCUCAUGUUUUGUGGUUUUCAACAUUUAGUACAUCAAGUUUUUUUCGUCUCAGAUUCAUACCUAAAGUGUAAAUUUUGGGACAAUCUUAUACAUCUGUUGGUCAAACUGUUAAAUCUGCCGUUAAUUAUGACGUGGCGCCAUGAUUGGGCGUCACAUGUCAUCCACGUUUUUUUUUUCUUUCUUCUUCUUCCUUCUUCUGCAACUUUUUUUUUCUUCCUCCUUCUCCUUCUUCCUUCCUUCUUCUUCCUUCCCCUUCUUCUCCUUCUUCCUUCUUCUUCCUUCUUCCUCCGAGUCUAGGGAAGAUGAAGGUUUUUUUUUUUCUUCCUCCUUCUUCCUCCUUCUUCUCCUUCUUCUCCUUCUUCUCCUUCUUCUUCUUCUUCCCCCCCCUUCUUCUUCUUCCUCCUCCUUCCUCCUUUUUCUUCCUUUUUCUUCUUCUUCCUCUGACUGCAACUUUUUUUUUUCCUUCUUCUUCUUCCUCCUUCUCCCUCCUUCUUCUUCCUUCUUCCUUCCUCCUUCUUCCUUCCCCUUCUUCUCCUUCUUCCUUCUUCCUUCUUCCUUCUUCCUUCUUCCUUCUUCCUUCUUCUUCAUCUUCCUCAAAAAAAAAAAAAAAAAAAAACAACCUUCAUCUUCCCCAGAUUUGAGGAAGAAGAAGAAGAAGAAAAAGGAAGAAAGAGAAGAAGGGGAAGGAAGAAGGAGGAAGAAAAAAAAAAGGUUGCAGUCGGAGGAAGAAAAAGAAGAAGAAGAAGAAGAAGAAAGAAGAAGAAGAAGAAGAAGAAAGAAGAAGAAUGAGGAAAAAGGAGGAAGAAGAAAAAAAAAAAAAAAAAAACUUCCCCAGAUUCGGAGGAAGAAGAAGAAGGAGAAGGAGAAGGAAGAAGAAGGAAGAAGGAGAAGAAGGGGAAGGAAGAAGGAGGAAGGAGGAAGGAAGAAGGAGAAGGAGGAAGAAAAAAAAAAUUGCAGAAGAAAAAAGAAAAGAAGAAAGAAGAACAGAAAAAAAAAGAAAAAAAAACGAAAAAAAAACGUGGAUAAUACGUGGCGCCCAGUCAUGGUGCCACGUCACAAUUAACUGUAAAUUUAAUAAUUUGAUUAACAGAUGUAUGAGACUGUCCCAAAAUUUACACUUUAGGUAUGAAUCUGAGACGAAAAAAACUUGAUGUACUAAAUGUUGAAAACCACAAAACAUGAGGGUAGUAAACAGUCUUUUACCCUUGAAAUAUUUAUAAAAAGUGACAUUUUUGAAAUUAAAGGUUAAUUUUUUAGGAGCUUUAAUGAAAAGCUUCUGGUACUAUUUACUUUAACGAAAAAUCACAUUUUUACACUAAAAAGUCAAUCCUGGUACUAUUUACCUUACCCUCUAUUUUAUCGUUAUCGUUAAAAUUCAAAAUUUUUAAACUCUUUUCAUUAUUUUUCCUUAAUUUUUUACUAUAUUUGAUAAAUACACGAGAGGUGGGGUUUAACAGGGCAAAAGAGGCGUGAUAUGAAGAAUGCAUAAAAACGACGUCGUACCGGCCCUGCGAACUUUGAAUAAUCGGUGGACGUGAAAUUAAUAGAAUUAGAAGGGUAAAACAGUAAACCUAACCCGAACCCUAGUCGACUAAAUUAUAUUUCCUCUCUUCCCACCUUUUGCACUGCGCCGUUCCCUCGUCUCUUGCGAUUCAGCACGCCCUUCUGCGACGCUGUUUCUUCUUCUUCUCCAAGCUCUCGCAGUAUCUUCUGAAACUCCAACCAGUAGGUCAGUGUUCAUAUCUUAUCUCUCUCACUGCAUCUGCUAUCGCGUUUUAUGUUUUGUUCUUUGUUCUUCGUUUAUGUUAUUCUUAUAAUUAGAAUUUGGUUUGAAUUAUUAGUUCACAAUUUUUUGUUUAAGCUGAUUAAGUUACUGAUUUAUAUCUUUUUUUCGUUCUUUUCAUAUAUUCUGCUAAUUUUAUUUAUCUAAUUUUUGUUUAUUUGUAGAAAAAUAUGGUUGGAUUUGGUUCCUUUAAUCGAUUUAUAUAUAUUUUUAUCAUCGCAAUAUUUGAGGCAAUGUUAAAUAGUGAUAUUUUUUUCUGUAAUCUGAUUUACUGGUUUUAAUAUUACCGGGGGAAGUUCGAUCAUCAGAAAGUUUACUUUGCAGCUCUGUUCUUAAUGGGAUCUACCAAAUACCACUAGUUUUGGGUGCCCAUUUAAUUUUUAUUGCUCCUUUUUCUGGUGGUUCUUGAAUUUUAACUUGUGUUUUUUACGCUAAUUGUAACGCUUUGUAUAAAUGUUAAUAACUUAAUAUAUAUUCCUUUCGAUGUUCCAUCAUCGGAAUGUUACUUUGUAGCUGGUUCUUAGUGGCAGCUCUUACCAAAUGCCAUGAAUUUGUUAUCCCUACUGAGUUUUCUUGCUGUGUUUUGUAACGCUUUCUAAUACUGGCGGGGUUUCGCUUUCCUUUUUACCUCUUUGGUAGUUGUACCAGUUGAUUUGUUCUGUUUCUUGCUUUACAAACUAAGAUAAAUUGUUGAUCUCCCUAAUCAAGAGGCAUAAUUUUGCAUUGUUGCUUUCCUUUAGCUGCUGUCUUUUUGCAUGUGUUUUGUAUUCAAAUAGUUCUCGUACAAUUCAG